UACGAGGGGGGCUAGCGUUGCUCGGAAUGACUGGGCGUAAAGGGCGCGUAGGCGGCGAUCAAAGUCAGGCGUGAAAUUCCUGGGCUCAACCUGGGGGCUGCGCUUGAUACUUGGUUGCUUGAGUGGGGAAGAGGGUCGUGGAAUUCCCAGUGUAGAGGUGAAAUUCGUAGAUAUUGGGAAGAACACCGGUGGCGAAGGCGGCGACCUGGUCCUUGACUGACGCUGAGGCGCGAAAGCGUGGGGAGCAAACAGG
rnacentral:rRNA from 1 species